GAUAACCCCAGACCAUGCCCAAAUCUAUCGUUGGCUCGACUUUUCUUACAGCUCCAAUCGCUGUGUCAUAGAUCCCAUGUCGUUUGGCCCAUUCCACAAAAGCAAUCACGCCCAGACCAAGAAAAAUGAGGUGAUGGCCAAGGAUGAAAGUCAGUUUUUUGGGAUCGUCCCA
rnacentral:antisense_RNA from 1 species